rnacentral:lncRNA from 1 species
CAUUUAAACUUUGUAAUUUCCUCUGAAAACAAAAAUCAUACUUUAUUUGCUGUUGAUUUUAAAGGAUCCUUCAAGAACACAGGAUAAUUCCUACAAAGAGCUGCCUUUCUCCAUUCUGAUUUGGACUCUCUGAGAUCUGCAUGGCAAUAAACAGCUGUCAUUACUGGGUACUGGACACGAUCCCAAGCCACACUGCUAAGGGCAACGUGCGGAAGCCUGGUAUCUGACUAAUGCUCACCAAGUGUUACAAGGCUUGAGCAGAGGGAAAUAUGCAACCCUGUGACCCUGACUCAGAAUAGCCAAACUCCAUCUGCUCUGAAACUUUAAAUGGGCUUUAUCCAGGGAAAGCUCAGAAACUGCAAGUACAGAAUUUCACAAAACCAGAGAAGAAUGAACAGGUACUAUACCUUACAGCAUAUUGAGCAUAUUAAUCACUGCCUGAUA